GUUUAGUACCCACAUGAAGCACCUUGAUUUUUGAAAAUGUCACCGAGGAAUAAAAUCUACAUCUGAGAAGAAGAAAUUAAUGAAUAUGGAACUAGAAAAUGAAGGCAAAACAGGGCAAGAUACUGAACCUCCAGGUUCUUGCCCUGAGGCACCUGUGAAUGGGUGGCCAUGUCCAAUACCUCCUCCUGUGUGAAGUCCUCCCAGACACAGGGAAAAGUUCCCAAUGCACAGCAUCACUCCUGCAGCAGUAACAAUGCCUCCAGAGGGAUGGAGCUCACCAAGGAGAAUCAGCUGGAUCACACUAAGGAGCAGAAAAGCAGUGGUGCUCAAGGCUUCACAGUCAUCAGGGCAAGAAGCGUGUGUUGCUUAAUGCAAUGAAACUGGUACCCCAUGCAGCAACAUGAUUCUGAGGGCAUAUGGUCAAAUGCAGUGCAUGUUUUUCUACCAGAACUGGUUUGUGUACCACACAGCUCACGUGAUGCUUACAGCAGAUAACAAAUGCUGAGCAGUGAUUUCCAACCUCACUUGUGUCAAGUGGUUCCAUGUUGCUGCAUCAAUCUGUGCAGCUUGGACCUUGAAUCAGCACAUCUGGGAGCUGUGGGGCUGGUGCCUGUACUCAGCCCAGCAGUGCAACACAGCUGUGCUGCUGUUAAUCAGCAGCCGUCUCCAUGCAGAAGCAGUUCAAGUGCCUUUGCACUGUGGUUGCCAGCAGUCUGCUUUCCGAGUUUAUCCCAUUUGGUGCUUGAAGUACUUGCGGUUACUCUGUCUUCCGUUACUCUGAUGUUAAGUAUGGUAUAACAAAAAAACAUCCAAAAUAUGAUCUCAAAACA